rnacentral:rRNA from 1 species
GAGUGGCGAACGGGUGAGUAACACGAGGGUAACCUGCCCAUCAGAAGGGGAUAACACUUGGAAACAGGUGCUAAUACCGUAUAACACUAUUUUCCGCAUGGAAGAAAGUUGAAAGGCGCUUUUGCGUCACUGAUGGAUGGACCCGCGGUGCAUUAGCUAGUUGGUGAGGUAACGGCUCACCAAGGCCACGAUGCAUAGCCGACCUGAGAGGGUGAUCGGCCACACUGGGACUGAGACACGGCCCAGACUCCUACGGGAGGCAGCAGUAGGGAAUCUUCGGCAAUGGACGAAAGUCUGACCGAGCAACGCCGCGUGAGUGAGGAAGGUUUUCGGAUCGUAAAACUCUGUUGUUAGAGAAGAACAAGGAUGAGAGUAGAACGUUCAUCCCUUGACGGUAUCUAACCAGAAAGCCACGGCUAACUACGUGCCAGCAGCCGCGGUAAUACGUAGGUGGCAAGCGUUGUCCGGAUUUAUUGGGCGUAAAGCGAGCGCAGGCGGUUUCUUAGGUCUGAUGUGAAAGCCCCCGGCUCAACCGGGGAGGGUCAUUGGAAACUGGGAGACUUGAGUGCAGAAGAGGAGAGUGGAAUUCCAUGUGUAGCGGUGAAAUGCGUAGAUAUAUGGAGGAACACCAGUGGCGAGGGCGGCUCUCUGGUCUGUAACUGACGCUGAGGCUCGAAAGCGUGGGGAGCGAACAGGAUUAGAUACCCUGGUAGUCCACGCCGUAAACGAUGAGUGCUAAGUGUUGGAGGGUUUCCGCCCUUCAGU